rnacentral:rRNA from 1 species
AGCAGUAGCCACGGUAAUACGGAGGGAGCUAGCGUUGUUCGGAAUUACUGGGCGUAAAGCGUGCGUAGGCGGUUUGUUAGGUCUGUUGUGAAAUCCCCGGGCUCAACCUGGGAAUGGCAAUGGAUACUGGCAAGCUAGAGUGUGUCAGAGGAUGGUGGAAUUCCCGGUGUAGCGGUGAAAUGCGUAGAGAUCGGGAGGAACAUCAGUGGCGAAGGCGGCCAUCUGGGACAACACUGACGCUGAGGCACGAAAGCGUGGGGAGCAAACAGGAUUAGAUACCCCUGUAGUCCCUGUCUCUUAUAC